ensembl:lncRNA
AAUGUUAGAGUGCGUUUGAACUUGUGGCACUUAUUUGGACCAAACAUUCACAUUUCCUCAAGUGUAAAGAGCUUUCCUGACAGAAGUAAAUGGGAGCAGAAGUAGUGGCUUGUUUGUUUUUAAUUAGGGUACUUACAAAGGAAUGGAGAUCAAUUAGUUACACUAUUAAGCUAUUGAGAAGUGCGGAGGUAUGCUCUCUUGUCCGAGGAGCUGUGGUGCAGCUGAAUCAAAACUCAAGGAUCUAGCAAGAUUGCGUGUUGAGGAGUGAUUAAACUUCUGUUAACUGGGGGGGAGGGGGGAAGAAAGAAAAGGAAGGUGAAGAGGGCUCAAGGAGUGUUAACUCUAUUUUAAACAGCCACGUAGCCCUGGCAUUGCUUGAACUUAAUUUCACGUUAUUCAAGAAGUAACUAACUUCUUUGUGCUGUGCUACUCCACAGUGUUUUCAUUCACACAUCCUGUGAUACAAAAGAUUAAUUAUACCGGUAUAACUUCAGAAAUAUUUUCCUUCUGUUGGUCUUUUCUGUGUGAUAAGCAUUGGAUAACAAACUUCCUUUCAGGAAUUGCAAUGGUCAUCUAGGGUUGUGACUGGUAUUUUAAAUGGGUAGAAUUUUCUAUAAAGACUGAAUAAAUAAUUUCUGAGAACGACUCUUUUUGUACUUUUAUCCAAGUAAGUACUGUAUUAAGCCUUAUAGAUUGUUUUCUUCAGACAUUCAUCAAUAUUUUACUCUUUGAAACAGAGUCAGUACUGGUCCAGUAAUUUCUGCAGAGGUAUAUCAGAUAGUUUUCCCAGAUUAUACCAUAUUUAGAAGUGUUAAAAAUAUACUGAUGUAGAUAGACAGGAAGGUAUGCACAUAAAUUAUCCUUUCAAUAUUGUAAAUUAGGUAAAUUGUUCUUGUUGUGCUGAUAGGAAUAUAAAGAAACAUGCUAGUCUUCGUCAUGGCUAGUCCUAGACUUCAGGAGGCUAACAAAAGGUGAAACUGCUUAAUGAAAAGAAGAAUUACACAAGAAGGAAAGUAAAGGCUUUAGAACUACGUGAUCCUCAUCUAAUGGCAAAAUGGGCUAUGAGAUAGGAGAUUGUAGUUUUAGUGAUAGGUUAUCUUACUGAUAUAGUAAUGGCAGACCUUCCCUGAUUGAGG